ACAGAACAGAACUUUCCACAGUAUCCUGAUGUCAAUGCGAGUGUGUUCCCUGCAUUUUCAUUCUGGAAAACCAGCAAAUGAAAUGUACACCUCGCAUCCGGAUUGGGCACCAUCACUACACUUGGGCCACACUGAGAUAAAGGCCACACAGACUGCACGCUAUGAGAGACAGGAAAAGAGAAAACGGCAAAGGACUGACAGUACACCUGCGAGGAUGAGACAGCUAUUGAUGACCUUGUUCCGCCCGUGGAGACACCAGCACCAGCUGAGGAUGGAGCUGAGCAGACACCGCUGACAGAAUGUGACUUCUGUCAGCGCCGGCGUGCUGAAAUCAACCGGCUGCUGGAGGAGAACAGGACCCUGAAACGUCUUGCACUCUCAGCGCAUUAAUGAGACUCCCCUGAAGCCAUGGGUCAUCAUUGCUGACGAUGGGCAGGUUUGCUGUGCACACUGUACAUGCAUGGCUGGAAUUGCAGAGGCAUGUACACAUGUUGGGGCUCUGCUGUUUAAGAUUGAGGCAGCAGUCCGCAUCCGUGGGAAAAAGACUGUGACAGAUGUGCCAGCUUAUUGGAAAAUACCAGCAGGUAUCAACAAAGUCAGCGGUGAAGUCGCCCACAAGAUGGACUUCACUUCAU